rnacentral:rRNA from 1 species
GACGAACGCUGGCGGCGUGCUUAACACAUGCAAGUCGAACGAGAGCGUAGAGAAAGCUUGCUUUUUCUACAAUCUAGUGGCAAACGGGUGAGUAACGCGUAAACAACCUGCCCUACGGAUGGGGACAACAGCUGGAAACGGCUGCUAAUACCGAAUACGUUCCGAAAGUCGCAUGACUGUCGGAAGAAAGGAUGGCCUCUAUUUAUAAGCUAUCGCCGGAGGAGGGGUUUGCGUCUGAUUAGCUAGUUGGAGGGGUAACGGCCCACCAAGGCGACGAUCAGUAGCCGGUCUGAGAGGAUGAACGGCCACAUUGGAACUGAGACACGGUCCAGACUCCUACGGGAGGCAGCAGUGGGGAAUCUUCCGCAAUGGGCGAAAGCCUGACGGAGCAACGCCGCGUGAGUGAAGACGGCCUUCGGGUUGUAAAGCUCUGCUAUACGGGACGAAUAAUCUUGUGGUUAAUACCCAUAAGAAAUGACGGUACCGUAAG